rnacentral:lncRNA from 1 species
GUCUGUUCACCCGUGAUGGGAAUAGCAAGAGGGAGCCCAGUCCGAGCACCCCGCGAAAGAUCCCACGGCCAUCUCAUUUACCCCGGGUUGUUCACUCACCACAGCAGUGCCCAGAUCCCUGAUACAAUGGAGUGGGUGAAAGAGACGAGUAGGUUGUGCCAACGCCAGGUGCGCAGGGGGUCGGUUUGCACGUGUGCAGGCUGGGGCAGGCGACAGAGCACGCGCCGGAGUGCCCGGAAGGUCAGCGUGGCGCCCAGGAGCAGCGGCCAGGCGGGGUGGAACAGUAGGGGCAUGCUGACCCUUCCUGCCGUCUGUCUGUCCGCCCCUUAAGCCGUCUCCUCCGACAGUUCUGGGAACACCGUUCCUUCUCUGGCCAGCGCGCCACGAUCGUUUCUGCCGCGGGCCGCCAGCCCCACAGUUUCGCGGAGCCCUCAAGGCCCCUUCGCUCCUCCCCGCGUUCCCAGUGAGGCCUCUGCCCGCCCCUGCCGCCCUCGCCCCCGCCCCGCCCCGCCGCCUGCCCCCGCCCCUCGGGCGCCUCUGCCGCGAGGAGGGCGCGAGGCCGGUGUCCCCCAGGGCCCCGCCCGGAAUCGGCCGACUUCGAGCGCGAAGGGGCUGUCCUCGCCAUCGUUGCCGAGGCACCCUGUCUGGCGCCUCCCGACAUCCGAAGGCGUCCUCGGCCGCCCUCGUGCGUACGGCCCCACUAGCCCACUUCCCGACUUUCUCUGCCGCCACCAGCUCCUACACCCUGGGCAGGUUCUGCGAGAACGCUCCUCUCUCAACUCUUUCAGGGCAGAGCUGGGCGGGACCGUCGCACAGACCGGGCUGCUGAACGCUAAACCCGGGGGCUCAGGAGCGCCGCCUCAGACCACGGCUCCGCCCAGACUCGAUUCCUCUCUUGGACCGGGAUCGACGUGUUUACCUGCUUCUCCCGCGCCCCGCACGAGUGGUGCUUAGGAACUGUUGAGUCACCCACCAUCACCACACUUCUCCCCAUCGUUCUUGGGCUCCUGGAACACAGCGGUUGUCACAGUCCUCCCUCAGACAGUCCCAACCCUCUUCUGGCUCCUUGGAGGCUGGGGCGGGGAAGGCUGCCGAUUUGCCCAGACAGCUGGGGUGACCCUCUCUCCAGGGCAGCGGCCUGGAGUAGAUGCGGCUUCUGGCCACUAGGUGUCAGUCUGUCCUCACUGUGAUGCGGGAUCCAAGCCCGCCUCCACUCCAGAGAGUAAGGCAGUUGCUCUGCGGAGCGGGAUCGGCAGACCAGGAGAAAAGGAGCAACCCAGAGGCGGUGCUGAAUGAAGGGAGUGUGCCUUUGGGAGGUGGAAGUGGACAACGAGGGCAAAAAGUGGGGACUAGGAGAACGGUGUUUCAAGAUGUUGAGGGGCAAAAGCCCAAGCUCAGACUCCCAGGCACCUAUGCCUUUUGGGUAUUUGCUGCCUUCCCUGAUGGUUCCAGGGUUACACAUUAACUCCCAGAGGUCCCCAGGGUCACUCAAGGCCCAUUCGGUUACUAAGUGAUAGCACGAUGUAAUGUUUUGUGUGAGCGUUUUACCCCAGCACUCCCUCUUUGCUUCCCCAGCCAACUCCGGCCUGAGCCAGUGACCACAGGUUCCCUCCACGUAGGCUAGUUUGGGGCGGGGCAGGGACAAAAAAUAAACAACCCUUCUCUCGCCCACUGAGAAAUAGGAACGUUGUUAGCUAAGGACCACCUCCUGAAUACUGACAUUUUAUAACUCCCUUAGAGCUGCAGGCGUCAUGAAGAAGUCAGGAUUUCAUUCAUCCUGGUCGAAACCCUAGCAGCGAUACCAACCAGCCCACUAUUUCUGGACAGAAGCAUAGAACCUUCUCUGGGUUUCCCCCUACCGCGACGCUAUAAGUUUUGAGUAAAGCUCCGAGUCCCCCU